GAUGAACGCUGGCGGCGUGCUUAACACAUGCAAGUCGAACGGUGAAGGCGGAGCUUGCUCUGCUGGAUCAGUGGCGAACGGGUGAGUAACACGUGAGCAAUCUGCCCCUGACUCUGGGAUAAGCGCUGGAAACGGCGUCUAAUACUGGAUACGAGCUGCGAAGGCAUCUUCAGCAGCUGGAAAGAACUUCGGUCAGGGAUGAGCUCGCGGCCUAUCAGCUUGUUGGUGAGGUAACGGCUCACCAAGGCGUCGACGGGUAGCCGGCCUGAGAGGGUGACCGGCCACACUGGGACUGAGACACGGCCCAGACUCCUACGGGAGGCAGCAGUGGGGAAUAUUGCACAAUGGGCGAAAGCCUGAUGCAGCAACGCCACGUGAGGGACGACGGCCUUCGGGUUGUAAACCUCUUUUAGCAGGGAAGAAGCGAAAGUGACGGUACCUGCAGAAAAAGCGCCGGCUAACUACGUG
rnacentral:rRNA from 1 species